CCUACGGGAGGCAGCAGUGAGGAAUAUUGGUCAAUGGACGAGAGCCUGAACCAGCCAAGUAGCGUGAAGGAUGACUGCCCUACGGGUUGUAAACUUCUUUUAUAUGGGAAUAAAGUGUUCCACGUGUGCGUUUUUGUAUGUACCUUAUGAAUAAGGAUCGGCUAACUCCGUGCCAGCAGCCGCGGUAAUACGGAGGAUCCGAGCGUUCUCCGGAUUUAUUGGGUUUAAAGGGAGCGUAGAUGGGUUGUUAAGUCAGUUGUGAAAGUUUGCGGCUCAACCGUAAAAUUGCAAUUGAUACUGGCAGUCUUGAGUACAGUAGAGGUAGGCGGAAUUCGUGGUGUAGCGGUGAAAUGCUUAGAUAUCACGAAGAACUCCGAUUGCGAAGGCAGCUUACUAAACUGCCACUGACAUUGAUGCUCGAAAGUGUGGGUAUCAAACAGGAUUAGAUACCCUAGUAGUC
rnacentral:rRNA from 1 species